rnacentral:rRNA from 1 species
GGGGUGUGGAAUUCCCGGAGUAGCGGUAAAAUGCGCAGAUAUCGGGAGGAACACCGGUGGCGAAAGCGGCACCCUGGGGUGCGCCUGACGCUGAGAGACGACAGCUAGGGGAGCGAACAGGAUUAGAGACCCUGGUAGUCCUAGCCGUAAACGAUGGAUGCUAGGUGUAGGAGUGAAGAGCUUCUGUGCCGCAGCGAACGCGAUAAGCAACCCGCCUGGGGAGUACGGCCGCAAGGUUAAAACUCAAACGAAUUGACGGGGACCCGCACAAGCAGCGGAGCGUGUGGUUUAAUUCGAUGCUACACGAAGAACCUUACCUGGGAUUGACAUAUGGGUGGUAGUGAUCCGAAAGGAGAGCGACCCUUCGGGGAGCCUAUACAGGUGCUGCAUGGCUGUCGUCAGCUCGUGCCGUGAGGUGUCGGGUUAAGUCCCGUAACGAGCGCAACCCUUGUCCUUAGUUACAAGUGUCUAAGGGGACUGCCGGCGGGAAGCCGGAGGAAGGUGGGGAUGACGUCAAGUCAGCAUGGCCCUUAUAUCCAGGGCGACACACACGCUACAAUGGUCGGUACAGAGGGCAGCGAAGCCGCGAGGUGGAGCGAAACCCAGAAAGCCGGUCGUGGUUCGGAUUGCAGGGUGCAACUCGCCUGCAUGAAGUUGG